rnacentral:lncRNA from 1 species
AAAAAAAGUAUCUGCCUAAGUCACUUGAAUAUGUUUCAAAGCAGGUUCAUUUCCUUAGAAUUUCAGGUUGUGACUUAGUCUCUUCAAAGUAGUUGCUGUUUCCAGUCUCUCAGAACCAGUGGGCAAUAAGUCUGCCACAUGUAAUUCAGAGCAUUGAGAUCCUCAUCAUCUGGACCAAGCUGAACAUAAAAUUGGAAUUUAUUAAACUGAAUAAAUGGAGCUCUGCCAGCUGUGCCCCUGAGUGUCUCUGGCAGGCCUGAUUCAUAACAUGGGUAGGGAGCUGGUUACUGAACACAGGGAGAAGAAAGUGGGAAAAGAGACCCUCUGAAAGGAAGAAGAGGAAAGAAGUCACAAAAUGCUGAAUUGUGAAUGAGGGCCCCUGAUGACUGUUGUUUGAAUGUUAAGGAUAAGGGCCACAGUUCCUUAUUCUUGCUGAGGAAGCCACUAAAGUCCCCUGAAAAUCUUUCCUUUUGAUUUCACCUUUCGCUGCCUGGGCACAGUUUGAGAAAUGAUGAAUGUACAGCUGGAAAACAAUGAAAGCAUGCAGUUUAUUCUGAGACAUCAUACAACUGCCAUAGCAGGCUGAAUGUUUUUGCUGGGUGACUGGCUGGGUUUAAUGGUGCUGCUGUUGGCUAACAAACACUCUUUCCUUUUUUGGUUUAUAAUAGUAAUCACCUUAGUUAGAGCUGCCUUUUUUUAGAAGGUUGCUUGAGCCUAGCCUGUCAUUGGCUUCACACCCUAUUCAUUUUUGUAUUCUUUCUUGAGCCUUAGUACUCUGUAAAGCAGUUGACAUUUCUUGCAACAAAUGUUAGAGGAAAACUAAUGGUCUGGUUUCUUCUAGGUGAGAGGCUUUUGAGAAUCCUGUGUAGUCAAGAAAUGAAUGAAAGUCAGUCAGGCUUUGCCCUAAAA